rnacentral:rRNA from 1 species
UACGUAGGCAGCAAGCGUUUGUUCGGAGUUACUGGGCGUAAAGGGUGCGUAGGCGGCUUUUUUAAGUUUGGUGUGAAAUCUCCCGGCUCAACUGGGAGGGUGCGCCGAAUACUGACAGGCUAGAGUGUGGGAGAGGAAAGUGGAAUUCCACGUGUAGCGGUGAAAUGCGUAGAUAUGUGGAAGAACACCAGUGGCGAAAGCGGUUUUCUAGCUAUUACCUGACGCUGAGGCGCGAGAGCAUGGGGAGCAAACAGG